rnacentral:rRNA from 1 species
AGCGAACGCUGGCGGCAGGCCUAACACAUGCAAGUCGAGCGGAUGAGUGGAGCUUGCUCCAUGAUUCAGCGGCGGACGGGUGAGUAAUGCCUAGGAAUCUGCCUGGUAGUGGGGGACAACGUUUCGAAAGGAACGCUAAUACCGCAUACGUCCUACGGGAGAAAGUGGGGGAUCUUCGGACCUCACGCUAUCAGAUGAGCCUAGGUCGGAUUAGCUAGUUGGUGAGGUAAAGGCUCACCAAGGCGACAAUCCGUAACUGGUCUGAGAGGAUGAUCAGUCACACUGGAACUGAGACACGGUCCAGAAUCCUACGGGAGGCAGCAGUGGGGAAUAUUGGACAAUGGGCGAAAGCCUGAUCCAGCCAUGCCGCGUGUGUGAAGAAGGUCUUCGGAUUGUAAAGCGCUUUAAGUUGGGAGGAAGGGCAGUAAGUUAAUACCUUGCUGUUUUGACGUUACCAACAGAAUAAGCACCGGCUAACUUCGUGCCAGCCGCCGCAGUAAAAC